AUGAUUUCAAUGCCUUUGUUCUGUGUGCGGAUAGAGAACUGAUUUCUGAAGUACUGAACGAAAUUCUCGCUGCUUGGAAGGGCUUCUGAUUAAUCCUGUCUGAACGAAAAAAAAUGGAAAAAUAUAUUAGUGUGAAAGUACAGCAAUUCAUUGUCUGAAGAUGGAUAUUCUUUUGUGUAAGUUUGUUUUUACGUGUACAGGAAUUGAUUUGAUUUGAUUGGCGGAUGAAUCUUCGUCCGAUGUGUAUAUAGUUUGGGUUGAACUAGAUAAGAAAACCGCAGUGUAAAACGAUGUACAAUGUAUGAAACAAAAUUGUGAUUUGUUACUUACGAGAAUCGACGUUUGUUUUCACUAACCAGGUUUGCUAACUAUCUUAUGCUUGUUAACCAGUGUUAUACGACACUGUCCUAAUCGAAGAAUACGACAUAAAUCAAAUCGAAAACCUCAGACAAUAAAACGAUCGUAUAUUUGUCCACCGAAUUUUUUUCUGGCAAAUCACAGAACAUUAGCAUAAUUUGUCACACAUCCAAAAUGUACAUACACCAUUUUUUCACACACACACACACACACACACACACACACACACACAAAGAGGGUGAAAUUACACAUUUUCAGAAACAAAAUUGUGAUUUGAAUGUAUGAAACAAAAUUGUGAUUUGUUACUUACGAGAAUCGAUGUUUGUUUUCACUACCCUGGUUUGCUAACUAUCUUUUUUCUCUUUAACCAGAGAUAUACGACACUGUCCUAAACGAAGAACACAAAUAAGAUAACCUAUACGACAUAAAUCAAAUUGAAAACCUCACACAAUAAAAUGAUCAUACAUUUGUCUACCAAAUUCUUUUUCUGUCAAAUCACAGAACAUUAGCCUAAUUUGUCACACAUCCAAAAUGUACACACACCAACAUUUUCACACACACACACACAAAGAGGGUGAAAAUACACAUUUACAGGUAACAUUAAUUUCUGUAGAAAAUCAAAAUUAGACGGAGAUAGGGUUCUAGCCCAGAGUUGAUAGACGAAUUCUACAACGGAAAAUAUCCAUCAAUUUUUCCAGCAUCAUCACGCGAUAUGAAGUAAAUGAGAUCUUCAAUUAUCGUAAGCGAGAACAAAUGCAAAUAGAGCUUCACCAAAAGUUGCAGAAGAAUACUUUACCUUAUUAAGAUCCGUAGGAUGGUGAAAUUGCUAAUCGUUUCGCCUCGGCGUCGGCGAUCUCGUACAAAGCUGCCUGAGUGUGUCUGUGUGUGUGUGUGUGUGUGAGAGAGAGAGAGAGAGAGGGGUUAAAAUUGAAUUUCAAUUUGUUUUGGUCGGCCGCCAUGGGAAGAAGAAGAAUAUGGAGGGAAUAUUAUCCGGAUCUCCCAAUCAAUGGAAAAG
rnacentral:lncRNA from 1 species